UUACGGCCAUAUCACGUUGAAAUACCGGUUCUCGUACGAACACCGAAGUUAAGCAACAAUGAAUCUGGUCAGUACCUAGAUGGGUAGCCGCUUGGGAAUACCAGCUGCUGUAA